GAGCACAUGGUCACGUGUAAUCCCUCCUGAAAUGGCGGCUUGUGGGUGCACAGUACAGCGGACCCGCACUGUUUCCUUUCACAGUUUAUAGGCUGCGCUCACACUCAGCGAGGAUCAGAAUGCGCUGACAUAGUGAGGAGCCGUCUGGGCGUCACGUGCUGCAGAGAGAACAUUUAGCUGGACCCGGUGAUUGUGUACAGAUUGUGUCAUAUGACUCUUCAAACCACUGGAGAAAUUGCAGCUCUCAAUCACACCCUUGCUAUAUGUGGGGUACAGAGGUGGAGAUUUAAAAGCGACAACCAAUCUAGAACUUCCCUUCCUUACAUGUAAGUAACAGAAAAGUGGUGAACUAAAAUUUUCACUGAACUGAUAUCAAAAUACAUUUGUCUGCUCUAUAGUAUGCAGGUUACUACUGGUAGCAUGAAAAGCACAAUAUGUAUGUAUUUGGUACAUUGUUAGUAACAUGAAUAGUACAAGGGGUUUUUCAAUCUCUAGUUUUUAUUUUCCUGGCCACCUCCAGCUUAUUUGCAGCUGCAGGAGGUGGUCAGGAAGCUGAAAACAGCUAAAAUUUGCAAAACUCCCAUUGACUUUAAUGGGUGUUAUAGAAAUGGCGUAGCCCGCAAGCUAGAGUGUUUACACAACUUCCGGAGUUACAUAAACAGUGUAGCUUGUGGGGCUGCACCAUUUGUACAACACCCUUUAAAGUCAAUAAAACGUAGGCAAAUUGCGCAAUUCUCUCAUUUUAGACUGUUUUAUCUUCCCAACCACUUUCGGUAACUGCAAACAUGCCAAAACAAAAUUCACUUACGGUUUUAUUUCAGGCUUAAUCCAAAACUAAGUUAAAGCAUAUUGUUAUUGUGAUCAAUAGGCUUUAACUGAAAAUCUGACAUCCUCUUUUGCAAAAUAUAGACCAAACAAAAGCUCACAGUUUAUAUAUACAAUCCGUCAUCUGAUAAGAAUUUCCUAAAUGUUAUCACCUUUUAACCCCUUUUUCCCUUAAAGGAGUACUCCGCCCCUAGCAUCUUAUCCCCUAUCCAAAGGAUAGGGGAUAAGAUGUUAGAUCUCCGCGGUCCCGCUGCUGGGGACCCCGGGGAUCGCCACUGCGGCACCCCGCCAUCAUUACUGCACAGAGCGAGUUCGCUCUGCACGUAAUGACGGGCAAUACAGGGGCCGGA